rnacentral:tRNA from 1 species
CCUUCGAUAGCUCAGUUGGUAGAGCGGAGGACUGUAGGUGUAUCUAGUAGAGAUCCUUAGGUCGCUGGUUCGAAUCCGGCUCGAAGGA